rnacentral:rRNA from 1 species
UACGUAGGGGGCAAGCGUUGUCCGGAUUUAUUGGGCGUAAAGAGCGUGUAGGCGGCUAGCUAGGUCAGCUGUGAAAACUCGAGGCUCAACCUCGAGAUGUCGGCUGAAACCAUCUGGCUAGAGUCCGGAAGAGGAGAAUGGAAUUCCCGGUGUAGCGGUGAAAUGCGCAGAUAUCGGGAAGAACACCCGUGGCGAAGGCGGUUCUCUGGGACGGUACUGACGCUGAGGUGCGAAAGCGUGGGGAGCAAACAGG